rnacentral:lncRNA from 1 species
CUUCUUAGGGGGGCAGCUGGGUAUCUCAGUGGAUUGAGAGCCAGUCCUAGAGACUGGAGGUCCUGGGUUCAAAUUUGUCCUCAGACACUUCCUAGCUGUGUGAGCCAAUAUACAGUAUUGACUCCAAGACAGAAGGUAAGAGUUUAAAAAAAAAAGAAUAUGCCUCAUUGAAUGAAAUCUAAUGAUCUCUCCUUCCUCUCCAUUCAGAACAUUUUCUACUAAUACCACUAAUCAUGGACAUGUGACUUCAUCACAACUCUGGCAUUACCAAAGCGAAUGGAAGGGCACCAAGGUUGACUUCACCCCAUCUGUGAUUUUGCCAAGAACCUCUGCACACACAGGAUUGAAAAUGAAUAUCACACAGAAGGUAAUGGAGAGGAUCACGGUGAUGUGAGCAGAAUAUAACAUAACGCCUGUAAAGAAGAACAGGGGUAAAAGAUGUCAUCAAGGAAAUAUAUAAUAGGAAGAGAAGAUGAACUAAUCAUACAGACGCCCAAGUGCUCCAUACUCUCUUUGAUGUCAAUAAGAUAAGAAAGGCAUCUGAUGCACAGGGUAGAAUUUCUGUGGUGAAUUUAGGGGAGGAAACGGUCUAGUUGCUUAGCAUGGGCAGGCAUGGAAAGGCUGCAAUUUAUAACACUGGAGGGUAUAUUCAACUUGAUGAGAUCACUUUUGAGUAUUUGAGUGAGUUGUUAAGGAGAUUGGGCAAUGAUGGUCUUUAGCCCACAUCAGAAAGAUGGAAUCAGUCAUGGUUUUUUAAAAUAAGAAGUUGCUCACAGGCCUCCUGAGUCCAUAAUUAAAUCCACAAGCCUUGGACUGAGGUGGCUCAGAAUUAGGAUAGAUCCUCUAUGUCAUAGGAAGGUUAGUGUCCUACUCAAGUGAGUUUAAUUGCUUUUUUUUAGCUGAGGUCAUCCGCAAGGAUGCCUCAAGUUGAUAGGAAAAUUGAAAGUUUCAUACCUGAAUGUUUCCAGAUCUAGAAGAUUCUAGAUAUUCCAGAAAAUAAGCACAGGAUGUACAAGAUUAAGGGGAAGCUGGGGAAAGUGUAUGACCAGGGUAUAGAUAGCCUCCUGACACAAAAUCCUUAUAAUUUUCUUCUAUCUAAUACCUCACUUUCUUAUUGCUGUCCUUAGUGCCCUCAGAUUGCCCUGUGGUUGUCUAGGUCCAGGAGAGACCUUUGG